rnacentral:rRNA from 1 species
CUACGGGUCGCUCCAGUGAGGAAUAUUGGUCAAUGGGCGAGAGCCUGAACCAGCCAUCCCGCGUGCAGGAUGACGGCCCUAUGGGUUGUAAACUGCUUUUCCAUGCCAAGAAACCUGAUUACGUGUAAUUAGUUGCCGGUAGUAUGGGAAUAAGCAUCGGCUAACUCCGUGCCAGCAGCCGCGGUAAUACGGAGGAUGCAAGCGUUAUCCGGAUUCAUUGGGUGUAAAGGGUGCGCAGGUGGGCUUGUAAGUCAGUGGUGAAAUGUUGCCGCUUAACGGUAAAAUUGCCAUUGAUACUGGAAGUCUUGAAGAUAGUUGAGGUAGGCGGAAUGUGUUGUGUAGCGGUGAAAUGCAUAGAUAUGACACAGAACACCGAUUGCGAAGGCAGCUUACUAAGCUAUUAUUGACGCUGAGGCACGAAAGCGUGGGGAUCGAACAGGAUUAGAUACCCUAGUAGUC